AACGAACGCUGGCGGCGUGCUUAACACAUGCAAGUCGAGCGGGAAAACGGGUAGCAAUACCUGUGAGUAGAGCGGCGCACGGGUGAGUAACACGUGAGUAAUGUUCCCUGGGGUUUGGGAUAACAGUGCGAAAGCGCUGCUAAUACCGAAUAAGCUCACGGCGUCUAUGGGCGCAGUGAGAAAAGUGGGCCUCUGACACAAGCUCAUGCCACGGGACCGGCUCGCGUCCCAUUAGCUAGUUGGUGAGGUAACGGCCCACCAAGGCGACGAUGGGUAGCUGGUCUGAGAGGAUGAUCAGCCACACUGGAACUGAGACACGGUCCAGACUCCUACGGGAGGCUG
rnacentral:rRNA from 1 species